CCAUUGGUGAGAUACCACUCUAACAAUGCUAGGAUUCUAACCCUAUACCGUUAUCCGGUUAGGGGACAGUUUCAGGUGGUCAGUUUGACUGGGGCGGUCGCCUCCUAAAAGGUAACGGAGGCGUGCAAAGGUUUCCUCAGACUGGUCGGAAAUCAGUCGAAGAGUGUAAAGGCAUAAGGAAGCUUGAUUGUGAGACCUACAAGUCGAACAAAGACGAAAGUCGGCCUUAGUGAUCCGACGGUUCCGAGUGGAAGGGCCGUCGCUCAACGGAUAAAAGUUACUCUAGGGAUAACA
rnacentral:rRNA from 1 species